rnacentral:rRNA from 1 species
GAUGAACGCUGGCGGCGUGCCUAAUACAUGCAAGUCGAGCGAACAGACGAGGAGCUUGCUCCUCUGACGUUAGCGGCGGACGGGUGAGUAACACGUGGAUAACCUACCUAUAAGACUGGGAUAACUUCGGGAAACCGGAGCUAAUACCGGAUAAUAUAUUGAACCGCAUGGUUCAAUAGUGAAAGACGGUUUUGCUGUCACUUAUAGAUGGAUCCGCGCCGCAUUAGCUAGUUGGUAAGGUAACGGCUUACCAAGGCAACGAUGCGUAGCCGACCUGAGAGGGUGAUCGGCCACACUGGAACUGAGACACGGUCCAGACUCCUACGGGAGGCAGCAGUAGGGAAUCUUCCGCAAUGGGCGAAAGCCUGACGGAGCAACGCCGCGUGAGUGAUGAAGGUCUUCGGAUCGUAAAACUCUGUUAUUAGGGAAGAACAAAUGUGUAAGUAACUAUGCACGUUUUGACGGUACCUAGUCAGAAAGCCACGGCUAACUACGUG